ACGAACGCUGGCGGCGUGCCUAAUACAUGCAAGUCGAACGGCUUUUCUAUGGAAGCUUGCUUCCACUGAGAAGAUAGUGGCGAACGGGUGAGUAACACGUGGGUAACCUGCCCAUAAGAGGGGGGAUAACAUCCGGAAACGGGUGCUAAUACCGCAUAGUUUUCUUGAUCGCAUGAUCGGGAAAGGAAAGACGGCCUUUGUGCUGUCGCUUAUGGAUGGACCCGCGGCGUAUUAGUUAGUUGGUGAGGUAAUGGCUCACCAAGACGAUGAUACGUAGCCGACCUGAGAGGGUGAUCGGCCACAUUGGGACUGAGACACGGCCCAAACUCCUACGGGAGGCAGCAGUAGGGAAUCUUCCGCAAUGGACGAAAGUCUGACGGAGCAACGCCGCGUGAGUGAAGAAAAGGUUUUCGGAUCGUAAAACUCUGUUGUCAGAGAAGAACAAGUUGGAGAGUAACUGCUCCAGCCUUGACGGUAUCUGACCAGAAAGCCACGGCUAACUACGUGCCAGCCGCCGC
rnacentral:rRNA from 1 species